GAGGAGGAGGAGGAGGAAGAGGAGGAGGAGGAGGAAGCGCACGCACGCCCGCUGCCCUGCCCUGCGCCUGGGGCUCGCUAGCCCGCCGCCGGGCACCGCCGCUCCCGGAGCCCGGGCCUGGCGCCCCGGCCCCGCGGCCUUAACCCCUUCGCGCCCGCGGACGCCACGCGUCCGGGAGAGGCCGGGCCCUGGCACCUGCUGGCUGCGGGCGCGCGCGGCCACCCCGGCGCUCGAGGGCCCCGUUGGCCCGGGGACGCUGCUGAAGUCACACGCCAGACGACCGAGGCGCCGCGUGGGCCGAGAAGCCCGCGGGCUCGCCCCCUGGAGGUUGGCGACGUCCGCCCCGGCCGAGAGUGCCGCGCGGCAGGCAGCGGAGAGGGGCGUGGAGGCCGCAGGCCUCGCCGGACCCGCACAGGGUCGCGGGAGGGGGGCCGCGCUAGCAGUCUUUUGAACCUAAGUCCCGCAGCGAUUGGCCAGCCCAGAGGGAAUUGCCGCCAGUUUCACAGAGGAGGAAACUCAGGACCAGACUGGGAAGUGACUUAGACAAGGGCACACGGCCAUACUUGGCUCCAGGCGCUUCUCCUGGCGCCCGCUCUUUCCACGUCGCCACGAGGUCUCCACGGAACCCCAUGUUGUAAAAGCAGUCUUCUCGAGGUUGGACGAACCCUGCCCUAGGACAAAAUCCUGCCGGGGCCCCCUGGAGGUGGGAAGAUGAGUGUUUUCUGCCAUCAUCAGACAUGGGGACCCAAGGUCAAGGAUUUCAAGGAUCACCUCUGCGAAGAUGCUUGCUGAGGUGACCACCAGAGGAGCCUCUCCCUGCAGGUGACACUCUGCCCCGAGCCUGCUGGGCAGGGCACAGAGCCCACUGGAAAAAUGACUCCUGAGCCAAAGAACACACAUCGGUCCCCACACUGUGAGUUUUUGGCACAGGGAGAAGGGAGAGGGGGAGGACGAUCUGUCACUGCCGGGGCCAAGCCUUCCCCUCUCUGCACCUCAGUCUCCCCACCUGCAAAAUGGGAGCAAAGCUCCCCAGGGUGACAGCACCAAACACGGGUGAGGGUGUGGAGACACAGGGACUCUCCUUCAUCGCUGGUGCAAACGCAAGGUGGCACAGCCACUUUGGAAGACAGGGUGACAGUGUCUUACCAGACUAAACAUACUCUUACCAUACGAUCCAUUGAUUAUGCUCCUUGGCAUUUACCCAAAGGAGUUGAAAACCUACGUCGACAUAAACACCCACACGAGGUGUUUAUAGCGGUAAACAGCCUCGUUCGUAAUUGCCCAAACUUGGAAGCAACCAAGAUGUCCUUCAGCAGGGGAGUGGGUAGCCCUCAACAGUACAUCCAGACAACGGAAUAUCAUUCAGCACUAAGAAGAAAUGAGCUCUCAAGCCAGGAAAAGACACGGAGGAACCUGACGCGCAUGUCAUGAAGUGAAGGAAGUCUGUCUGAAAAGGCCACAUACGAGAAAAUGAUUGGCAGCAGCCACCUGCUGGGGCAAAGUCUGUCCCUGGCCUGGGAUGGAGACUGGACAGAGCAAGGACUCAGGAUAUAUUGGCUGCUUAUCUGCUGUACAUUGGAAUUCCGAAUAAUGCCUGCCUUGUUGCGAAGCUUAAACGAGUAGCAUCCACGAAAAGUGCUUAGGAAGGACCCUGGCACAGAGAAGGUGCUAUUUUUAACACUAACACCCUCUUUGUUCCCACCCUUCUCAUGUGUGCAGGGCACCUAGGGCAUGGGGAAGGGGCUGCUUGACUUCAGGAUGCAAAGUGCAAAGCUGCCUCCCUGCAGCGGUGGAGGAAAGACGGAAAGACGGGGCUGCAGGAAUUCGUUAGCACCAAUUAACACCGUGAGGCUCCCUUCUGCUCUCACCCUGGUCUGCCUCCCUGCUGGCUUGGGGCCGAGAACCACAUGGCAGAGGAAGCAGCCAGGCCCAGGGGAUGAGGGGGAUGUUGUGGAACCAUCGGCUAAGACUGGGGGCCCCCCAGCAGGUAUUAUUCCUAGCUGGGCAGGAAGGUUCCAGAAAGCAGUGAGGCAGACACAGAGCAUCAGGCAGGCCUGGUCUUGGGGCCACAGACAAAUGCCUCUUCCAGGCAGUGACCCUUUCUAGUGCAUCUGACAUACGGAGUGGGGGUCAUCCCUUCCCUGACACAGCGAACUUACUCGUAGCUGUGCUCUUGCAAUGAAAGAAAUAAUAAAAAUGGCUGGAAAAGAAACACAGACGGUAAAAAUGUUU